UUGAUAAAGGGGUAACAUGUAGCUAAAUUUUUUUGGUUUUGCGUCUAAGUGUCGAAUGUAAAAGAUAGAAAACGUUUAUUAUAUUAUUUUAUAACAAAAAGAAGGUCUGAGUCUGUGUCUCUUCCUAUGUGCAUCUCAGAUCCAUUUUUUACAACCCAAAUUCUUCUCCUUUAGCUCUUCCUUUCAGAAACAACAGUUGCCUCCGGAAUCGUCUCUUUCUCGCCGGCGCUGCUCGAUGUGAGUGAGAAUUCAGCAACACUUCAUCACUCAAUCAAUCUCCGAAAUCCGAAAUCGAUCUCCGUCUCUUCCCAUAGUUUCAGCAUCAUUGAGAAGCAACAUAGAAGCAGCCACAACAACGAACGAGAAGAGAAACCAAUUCGGUUUCGGAUUUGAAUAUCAUCUCCAGAUCGAGAAGAGAAAUUGGUUACCGUCGGAGAAGGUGGGUCGUGCCUAGAAUCGAACGGUGGUGAUGCUACAGCUGUCGCCACGAAGCCCAAAGGAGAUGGAGAGGACCCGGAGCAACCAAGGGUUUGAGAUGGGUUAAACUCUGCUAUUGUUAGGGAAAAGCCUAAUGUUAAGCAUGCACAGAUGUUGCUGGGCUUGAAAGUGCUAAACAAGCGUUAAAGGAAGCUGUGAUUUUGCCUGUCAAGUUUCCACAGUUCUUCACCGGAAGAAGAUCAUAUAUGAACCCGUUAGACGGGUAAGCAAAUCGUUGGGUCUGAUUUCACUCUCUCUAAGCUAUAAUCCAAAUUCAUGGUCUCUUGUGUUCGUUUUUUUUGUCUCGAAUUCAUUAGCCAUGUUGUAUUUAAGUAGCUUUUGUCUUUCCUCUAGACUCCGAUUAAAUUUGCAGGAAGAAUAUCAGAUUUGUGAAAGAAUGGAGUUGCAGAUCCCAUCUAUCAGUUAUCAGACUUU